rnacentral:lncRNA from 1 species
AUGUUGAUAAGAUGGAUCUUCUUGUACAGCCUUCUAGUAAGGCUGGCUCAGAGCAACAAUACAGAUUCUGAAAAGUCUGCAAACACCACCACACCUUCAUCUAAAAUUCUAGAUGCCUCUACUAAGUCAAAAGAACAUGGAAAAAACAAGACAUUGCACAUUCUUUAUGCUUCAGUACCUGUGGGCCUAUGUUGUCCAUUCAUCUUCAUAUGCGUGUUUUGGAGUCUAAGGAGGUACUAUGGAAAGCAUAAGAGAACUCCAUCAACACCACAGAGACAAGAGAGCCAGGUCAGAAGCCCAUCAGCUCUUCCAUCUCAUGCUCCUGGGACAACUCCAGCUACAGAUGAAAGCUCUUCACUUUACUGCUCCAUGUCUAGCCCAUCUCAGCUCUUGACUGUCAACAGGAUUUAUGACAGUGUUCCUCACUGUAAUGCUCAGGAGACAGCAUCUAACUCACCUUCUAAUGAUCCUUCCACCCCAGCUUCACUUGAAAGCCAAGAUGUCCUGAUAUAUGCCUCACUAAACCAUUCUGCUUCUACAAAUAAAUACCAGAGAAGGAAACUCUCUAUGGAAAAUGAAUGUAUAGAAUAUGCUUCUAUUAAGCUAAAUAAAUAAAUAUGGCAGACUUCACCGAACAGCCAUAUUGUGUGCAGUCUCAGGUUUAUUUUCCAUCCAGAAUACCUUUCUCUCCCGGGAGAACUUUCCUUUUGUUUAGAAGAACCCGUGGAUGCUCCCCCACUACAGACAGGAAUGCAAAACACAGCCUGUGUCAUGCAGAUGGAUGGGUAAUUGCACUGGGUAUUUGUCACUUAAAUGUAGAAAUAAAAGGAAACACAACCAGCUUUCCA